GCCCCCGUAGCUCAUCCGGAUAGAGCAUCUGCCUUCUAAGCAGAGGGUAGCAGGUUCGAGUCCUGCCGGGGGUACCA
rnacentral:tRNA from 1 species